GGCAUACAGGUUGGACACUCUGUGGCUUUGGAACACAUCGGAGUCAUUAUUGUUUUUACUCAUCAUUUUUUUAAUCAUCAACCCGGGGGAGAAAAAGCCACUGGAGUCAAUAAAUGUCAACACACUGUGGUGGGCUACUGGAGCAGAUCUAAUCUCUAUGGGGAGGAGGUUCCCAUGGUGGGCAUCAUAAUGGCUGAACGCCCCUUCACCUUGCUUGGUAUCGACUCCGGGGACAACUAGCUGACCAGUCACACUAACCCGUCACACUAGGUCUAAGUUCUCUAGCGGCAAAGGAAGAGAGAAACCACGCCACCUGGCCUUGAACACAAGUCUAUGGGGGUUGACUGCAACACCGAAGAUCCAGGUCAAUGUGACCAAACCAUACACAGCUCUGGUAGUGCCAAUACUCCAUCACAAUCCCAAAUCUUUAGAACAUUUCUGCCAUGAUGAGGUCUUACCCAGUGGUUCGAAGGCACACUGCUGUGCCAUGUGGCAAAGUGAGCUCAAAGUCAAGCUCCACCUGACCCAAUCAGCUCGGCAAAAUGGUAACGUUAAAAAAUUGGUUCCACGUUGAUCCCAUGGAUCAGAUGCUAUUUUAAUUCAUAUGUCGGUCUGUUUAUGACUCCUAUGUUUGUGUGUGGCUAUUUUGUUUUGAAUCUAUAAUCUUUUUUAAAAAAAGAAAGGCAUUAUUAAAGAUUAAAUUUCCUCCUGUUCAUCGUGCCCCACCUGACAUGUCUCUAUUGCCCACUAGUGG